rnacentral:tRNA from 1 species
GCCUGGGUGGCUCAGUUGGUUGGGCAUCUGACUUCGGCUCAGGUCAUGAUCUCGCGGUUCGUGAGUUCGAGCCCCACGUCGGGCU